rnacentral:misc_RNA from 1 species
AUUAUAUUGGAGAUAUUGUUAUGUAAUUAAGUCUUCAUAAUUUUUAUUAUAAAAAUACCCUUUCAGCAUAUAAUAAUAUAUGAUGCUGCAACUCACUUCCACAGAUAAAUGCUUAAUGGGAUCAAAAUCCUUCCUAUCUAACAAAAAAAUAUCUGGACUUUCCUAGAGCAAAAAACAUCUGGACUUUCCUAGUGCAAAAGCCUGUGGCAAGGAACCAACUCUCCCAACC